AUGCCCUAUGAAGCAACCCCGUCGUCGUGCACCACCUUUCGCACCUCCAGCCGCCUCCCAUGGCACCCUCACCCGCGCGCGAGACCUCCCCAUCGCCAGCACCGCUGCCUUGCCGCGCUUGAGUCCUCGUGCGCCUCCCUGCUUCGUCCGGCCGCAGUGCCGCCAAGCUCUUCCAACCGCCCCUGCUGGCGACCAGCAGGCUGCUGUCGUCCGUCUCCUCCACUUGGAGCCUGCGCAGCCACGCGCCCAGAGGCCGCCGCCCACUCCUCCCUCGAUCCCACCGGAUUCGAGCGCCGCGGAGCAGCUCCCUCUCCUGCGCGCCUCGCUGCCGUCUCCCCACAUCGGACCUGGCCUCCACCACCUCGCCUUCAUCUGCCUCCCCGCCAGGGUCCCUCGCAGUCUCCACCUCGUCGCCUUGCCUCGUCGCUGGCCCUGCUCCACCUCGUCGCCUUGCAUCCGCAGAACCAGGCCACGGCCGCACCAUGGCCGCCUGCCUCCUUUGCACCCGGCCUUGACUGGAGUCGCCCCUGUCAGCAACCAGCACGACCACGAAGCUGCCCUCUCCUUCCCCUGCACAGGAGCUCGCAGCUACCAACAUCGCCUCCUUGUUGUUGGCAUCCUCAGGCCCCUUUUGUUGUUUUGUGUUGGACGCGGCAAGAUCGACUACAACGACGCCAAGUUCCACCACCGGCAAGACCCGGACUCCGAAUGCAAGUACAACUGCAAACCCGAAGAACUCAGAUGCAUCAAGUCCCCGAGGAGACCCAUUUUUUCGUCAAGUUCGACUACAUUGUGACGCGCCAAGUACCUAUACCGUGUGUCCGGAAUCGCCAAGACCGUCCCAAAUAUUGCGAAGUACCACUUCGAUUCCAGAACGCGACAAGUACCACGACGCCCGGAGUCCUCAGAUCCGUCAAGUUCCAUUAUGAGAUAUACAACUACCGUCGACUUCGAAGACCUCGGAUUCACCAAGUUCUCACGACGACAAGUGUGACCCUUCGGAUAAGUCAAGUUCGUCCACACAAAAACGCCAAGUACCACUCAUGUCGGCAAGACCCGCAAGUCGGACCCCGAAUGACCGACUUCUUGUGGACUGUGUGCAACUAG
rnacentral:rRNA from 1 species